AUUGAACGCUGGCGGCAGGCCUAACACAUGCAAGUCGAACGGUAACAGGAAGAAGCUUGCUUCUUUGCUGACGAGUGGCGGACGGGUGAGUAAUGUCUGGGAAACUGCCUGAUGGAGGGGGAUAACUACUGGAAACGGUAGCUAAUACCGCAUAACGUCGCAAGACCAAAAAGGGGACCUUCGGGCCUCUUGCCAUCGGAUGUGCCCAGAUGGAGUUAGCUAGUAGGUGGGGUAACGGCUCACCUAGGCGACGAUCCCUAGCUGGUCUGAGAGGAUGACCAGCACACUGGAACUGAGACACGGUCCAGACUCCUACGGGAGGCAGCAGUGGG
rnacentral:rRNA from 1 species